UUGAAUUGAAGAGUUUGAUCAUGGCUCAGAUUGAACGCUGGCGGCAGGCUUAACACAUGCAAGUCGAACGGUAGCAGGUAAGUACUUGUACUUAUGCUGACGAGUGGCGGACGGGGGAGUAAUGCUUGGGGAUCUGGCUUAUGGAGGGGGAUAACGACGGGAAACUGUCGCUAAUACCGCGUAGAAUCGAGAGAUGAAAGUGUGGGACCUUCGGGCCACAUGCCAUAGGAUGAACCCAAGUGGGAUUAGGUAGUUGGUGGGGUAAUGGCCUACCAA
rnacentral:rRNA from 1 species